UGGCCUGGGGUACAGGUGGCCAGCACAGUGCGGGGCACAUGGUGGGCAUUCAGGGAUGAUGGCCCUUGUGUCACAGCCGACACUCUUGACCAGUGAGUCCUCUCUCCUCCCUUUGUUGACUCCUGACCGUCCACAAAUGAGGUUCAGAAUCCUCCAUCCAGCAUCUUCCCUGGUCACAUGGUCCCAACCUUUUGCUCCACCCCCUUCUCUGUUCCCCCCGCAGUCCAUGCUCCAGCCAUCCUGACUCUGUCCCUGGAUUUCUGGCUUACUGACACCUGAGCCUGUGCACAGGCCCUCCCUUCUGUAUAGAGCACGCUUCCCAUCUUGUGGACUUGCUUCCCAUCUUGUGGACUCGGAGGGUUCCGAGCAGCCGUUGAGGCUGAGCUCCUAUGACACCUCCUCCGUGAAGCCUCCCUCACUUUUCCAUUACCAGUGAGGCCUGCCACAGCCUGAUUUGUACUCUGAUCCUGGCACGCAUGAAGCCGUGUUGCCAUUUGUUAACAGUCUGUCCUCCACUAGACUGUGAACUCCACCAGGGGGGGAACCAGGUCUGAUUGCCUCUGUGUCCCCAGAUACCACUUAGCACAGAGUCGAGCCCAUAGUGGCUAUCAGCAAGUGCUAGGCCCAGCCUGCCACCCACCCACCACUCACUUGGGGGCUGGAGGCAUUGCACGCAUGCGGGGCAUGUGGGACUUGUGGGGGCAGCUGAGCAGCGAGGUUUAUAGAGGAACCCAGGGCGGCAGCAGGAAGGAUGAAGGAUGAGUGUCUGAAACUGGGUUGGCAGGCUCAGGGCAUAGCCAGCCUAAGCUGGGGGUCAAAGGCCCCUGGCCCCUUCACUCCCCCAGGGGCACACAGUGUCGGCGGCACGAUGUGGGAUGCCCCAGGAAGGGCAAGGCCAUGGGGCUGGGCUUUCCUCCAUCGACCCAGGACAGAGCUGGUGCUGAAGGCCCCAUCAGCAUGACUGGGGUGGAGAUCUUGGGGACCUCCUUGGGGGGCCACAGUUGGGGGGAAGGGCACAGCCCAUCCAACAUGUCCAUCUGGUGUGGCUGUGCCAGCAGGGAGUGUCCCACAUGCAGAGCUCCCUCUGGGCUGCAGGAGGUGGGGACCUGGGUGGGCAGGUGGGCACAGCAGCAGGGGGCCCCAGGGAGCCUAAUCCAGCGGGCCCUGGAAAAUGAGGCGGACGCAGCCAUGCUCG
rnacentral:lncRNA from 10 species